GAAAUGGAGGAUGACAGCAGAAGGGAAACAGCCCCAAACACAGAAAUGUAAGGAGGGGAUAGAGAUCAAGAAAAUCAUUCCUUUCAUGAUCUCUGAAGAGUUGGUAGAAUCCAAACCAAUCUAAAAAGUAAAUCGAAAUAGUUAAAGCCUAUUGUGUAGAGGCCAUAGGAAAAAAAAUAAAUAAACAGGACAAGAGGGCCAUACCUAAAGAAACUUCAGUUAUGCUUCCAAUUAA